UGUGGCUAGGAGAAUGGCCGCCUGCACG
rnacentral:sRNA from 1 species